rnacentral:rRNA from 1 species
GACGUAGGGGGCCAGCGUUGUUCGGAAUUACUGGGUGUAAAGGGCGCGUAGGCGGGCCGUCCGGUCCGGGGUGAAAGCCUCCAGCUCAACUGGAGAAGUGCCUUGGAUACCGAUGGCCUCGAGGGAGGCAGGGGCGUGCGGAACUUCGGGUGGAGCGGUGAAAUGCGUAGAUAUCCGAAGGAACACCAGUAGCGAAGGCGGCACUCUGGGCCGGAACUGACGCUGAGGAGCGAAAGCGUGGGUAGCAAACAGG